UACGGAGGGUGCAAGCGUUAAUCGGAAUUACUGGGCGUAAAGCGCACGUAGGUGGUUUGCUAAGCCAGCUGUGAAAUCCCCGGGCUUAACCUGGGCACUGCAGUUGGAACUGGCAAGCUAGAGUAGGGUAGAGGGGUGUGGAAUUCCAGGUGUAGCGGUGAAAUGCGUAGAUAUCUGGAGGAACAUCAGUGGCGAAGGCGACACCCUGGACUCAUACUGACACUGAGGUGCGAAAGCGUGGGGAGCAAACAGG
rnacentral:rRNA from 1 species